rnacentral:rRNA from 1 species
CCGACCUGAGAGGGUGAUCGGCCACACUGGGACUGAGACACGGCCCAGACUCCUACGGGAGGCAGCAGUAGGGAAUCUUCCGCAAUGGACGAAAGUCUGACGGAGCAACGCCGCGUGAGUGAAGAAGGUUUUCGGAUCGUAAAACUCUGU